rnacentral:rRNA from 1 species
UACGAGGGGAGCAAGCGUUGUUCGGAUUUACUGGGCGUAAAGGGCGCGUAGGCGGCGUGACAAGUCACUUGUGAAAUCUCCGGGCUUAACCCGGAACGGUCAAGUGAUACUGUCGGGCUAGAGUGCAGAAGGGGCAACUGGAAUUCUCGGUGUAGCGGUGAAAUGCGUAGAUAUCGAGAGGAACACCUGCGGCGAAGGCGGGUUGCUGGGCUGACACUGACGCUGAGGCGCGAAAGCCAGGGGAGCAAACGGG